rnacentral:rRNA from 1 species
UAGGGAAUUUUCGUCAAUGGGGGGAACCCUGAACGAGCAAUGCCGCGUGUGUGAAGAAGGUCUUCGGAUCGUAAAGCACUGUUGUAAGUGAAGAAUGCCAUAUAGAGGAAAUGCUAUGUGGGUGACGGUAGCUUACCAGAAAGCCACGGCUAACUACGUGCCAGCAGCCGCGGUAAUACGUAGGUGGCAAGCGUUAUCCGGAAUCAUUGGGCGUAAAGGGUGCGUAGGUGGCACGAUAAGUCUGAAGUAAAAGGCAACAGCUCAACUGUUGUAUGCUUUGGAAACUGUCGAGCUAGAGUGCAGAAGAGGGCGAUGGAAUUCCAUGUGUAGCGGUAAAAUGCGUUAGAUAUAUGGAGGAACACCAGUGGCGAAAGGCGGUCGCCUGGUCUGUAACUGACACUGAUGCACGAAAAGCGUGGGGAGCAAAUA